rnacentral:rRNA from 1 species
GACGAACCGUGCGAACGUUGUUCGGAAUCACUGGGCUUAAAGGGCGCGUAGGCGGGUUUGCAAGUCUGCGGUGAAAGCCCCCAGCUUAACUGGGGAAGUGCCGUGGAUACUGCGGAUCUCGAGGAGGGUAGGGGCAUCUGGAACAUUGGGUGGAGCGGUGAAAUGCGUUGAUAUCCAAUGGAACUCCGGUGGCGAAGGCGAGGUGCUGGACCCUUUCUGACGCUGAGGCGCGAAAGCCAGGGGAGCAAACGGG